GGGGCUUUAGCUCAGGGGUAAGAGCAAUUGGCUGCAGUCCAAUAGGUCACUAGUUCAAUUCUGGUAGGUCCCU
rnacentral:tRNA from 1 species